CAAAAUGUAGUCUAACUAAGACACCUCGCUUACACCGAGGGAAAAUCUGUUGAACCCGGAUCAUCUUGA
rnacentral:tRNA from 3 species